AUGUGCAGGCAAAGAAGGCUAUAUUGGGUUCAAGGGAGACAUGCGAUCAUCCUUCUUCCAUUUGCUGCGUGCAGGCUGGCCUGUAAGUAUCACAACUCAGUCAUGUGUGCCAACUGCACUACAGUGGAUCAAAGAUGCUGUGUGUGCCUGAGUGUGUUACUGAUGGACCUCUUCCUAUUAAAUCCUCAGACAGAACCGGGACCUACUGGACCGAUAGGGGAAAUGGGCAAACCUGGCCUACCAGUGAGUGAUAUAUCCAUUUACUGUACACUAAUCACAAAUAAACUAUGGUCAUAUGCCCUUGCAUGAACUUAUCAAUGCAAAGACAUUCAUGCAAGUGUAGGUGACGUUGGGCUAGUAACUGAAAGGUCGCUGGUUCGAAUACCUGAGCCGGUGAAAAAUCUGUCGAUGUUUCACUGCACCUAUCCUGUGUAUGUGACAAUAAAACAGGUUUUUAUUUUUUUCUGCAGGGCAUUCCUGGAGAUCCUGGACACAGAGGAAUGCCAGGACACAGGGGAGACAUGGUAAUCUUAACAAUACAACUAGCAACUUGUUAUACAAAUGUUCUCCUAGUGGUUAAUGUACAUUCAAGGCUCAGUAUUGUCUACCAUCUGAGAUCUCCUAGUCUUCUCUGAGGUUUUGUUCUAAGCAGCUAAAUGUAUGAAUCAUGCCUGGUGUUAUGUCUGUGCCAGGGUUACCCUGGGCCGAAGGGUGUGUCAGGUCGAGGCGGGACCUGGGGCAGAGAUGGCGGGCAUGGCCUGGAUGGACAGCCAGGGCCACAGGGAUUCCCUGGGCUUCAGGUAACACCAAAGACAUUCACAUGAUACAUUAUUUACAGUCAAUCUAUACAUUUUAACUGAGUAAAAUCAACUCAUACAAGACCAGAUUUGAAUAGAAUGAAACAAGAAAGAAAGUAUGGACCUCUAUGACUGUAAUGGCAUGGCGGUGGUUUCUAUUUCAGGGUCCUACAGGCUAUAAGGGAGAGAAUGCUCCUCCAGGGGAGAGAGGAGAUGAGGUGAGAAUACCAGUGUAAGGUACAGUACACUACAUGUCUGUAUGGCAAAAUGUCAGAUUAGUGCAGGGAAGUGGCUGUCAAACAAGCACCCUUCUCCAAACUGUGCCUAUGGUCAGAUCUCACAGUUCAUACACUAUACCCAGUCAGUGGAAACAACCAGCAUGACUGUAGGUCCAGGAGCUUUUCCUGACCACAGAACCUGGAAAACCAUCAGACAGGCUCUAGUAAUAAGCCGUCAUCAUCUAGAGUCUGUUAGUUACUGUGUUCUAUUCUCCUGUUAUGAUGAUGACCGAUUCCACAUUUGUGUGUGAAGCUGCCUGGAUCCAAACAUGCCUCCAGACACCAGCUGGUGGCACUAGGGGACACCACAAACCCCAUGGUUAUACAUGUUGGUUUAUAGCAGGGGUCUCCAACCCUGUUCCUGGAGAGCUGGCCUCUUGUAGGUUUUCACUCCAAACCGAGUUGUAACUAAACUGGUUCAGUUUAUCAACCAGAUAAUUAUUAGAAUUAGGUGUUCUAGAUCAGGG
rnacentral:lncRNA from 8 species